UAAUAGCGUAUAUUAAAGUUGUUGCGGUUAAAAGCUCGUAGUUGGAUUUCGGGACCUGUGCAUUCGGUCCGGCGUGAGCCGCGAACUGAAGGCUGGGCCCUUCUGUCUGGAGCCCGGUCUCUUCCUCUUAACUGAGGGGGAGUCUGGUAUCUAGGACUUUUACUUUGAACAAAUUAGAGUGUUUUAAAGCAGGCAAUCGCCUGAAUACAUUAGCAUGGAAUAACCGAAUAGGACUUUGGUUCUAUUUUGUUGGUUUUAAGGACCAAAGUAAUGAUUAAUAGGAUAGUUGGGGGCAUAAUAUUUAAUUGUCAGAGGUGAAAUUCUUAGAUUUAUGAAAGAUUAACUUCUGCGAAAGCAUUUGCCAAGGAUGUUUUCAUUAAUCAAGAACGAAAGUUAGGGGAUCGAAGAUGAUCAGAUACCA
rnacentral:rRNA from 1 species